rnacentral:piRNA from 1 species
UGCUACCCUACUGUGAAUUAGAGGGCC